rnacentral:rRNA from 1 species
UAGGGAAGUCUUCCACAAUGGGCGGAAAGCCUGAUGGAGCAACGCCGCGUGUGUGAUGAAGGCUUUCGGGUCGUAAAGCACUGUCGUAUGGGAAGAACAGCUAGAAUAGGAAAUGAUUUUAGUUUGACGGUACCAUACCAGAAAGGGACGGCUAAAUACGUGCCAG